GACGAACGCUGGCGGCGUGCUUAACACAUGCAAGUCGAGCGGUAAGGCCCUUUCGGGGGUACACGAGCGGCGAACGGGUGAGUAACACGUGGGUGACCUGCCCUCAGCUCUGGGAUAAGCCUGGGAAACCGGGUCUAAUACUGGAUAUGACUCCAUGACGCAUGUUGUGGGGUGGAAAGCCUUGUGCGGCUGAGGAUGGGCCCGCGGCCUAUCAGCUUGUUGAUGGGGNGAUGGCCUACCAAGGCGACGACGGGUAGCCGGCCUGAGAGGGCGACCGGCCACACUGGGACUGAGACACGGCCCAGACUCCUACGGGAGGCAGCAGUGGGGAAUCUUGCGCAAUGGGCGAAAGCCUGACACAGCGACGCCGCGUGAGGGAUGACGGCCUGGUGU
rnacentral:rRNA from 1 species